rnacentral:rRNA from 1 species
AUGCAAGUCGAACGGUAACAGGAAGUAGCUUGCUGCUUUGCUGACGAGUGGCGGACGGGUGAGUAAUGUCUGGGGAUCUGCCUGAUGGAGGGGGAUAACUACUGGAAACGGUAGCUAAUACCGCAUAACGUCGCAAGACCAAAGAGGGGGACCUUCGGGCCUCUUGCCAUCAGAUGAACCCAGAUGGGAUUAGCUAGUAGGUGGGGUAACGGCUCACCUAGGCGACGAUCCCUAGCUGGUCUGAGAGGAUGACCAGCCACACUGGAACCGAGACACGGUCCAGACUCCUACGGGAGGCAGCAGUGGGGAAUAUUGCACAAUGGGCGCAAGCCUGAUGCAGCCAUGCCGCGUGUAUGAAGAAGGCUUUCGGGUUGUAAAGUACUUUCAGCGAGGAGGAAGGUGGUGAGUUUAAUACGCUCAUCAAUUGACGUUACUCGCAGAAGAAGCACCGGCUAACUCCGUGCCAGCAGCCGCGGUAAUACGGAGGGUGCAAGCGUUAAUCGGAAUUACUGGGCGUAAAGCGCACGCAGGCGGUCUGUCAAGUCGGAUGUGAAAUCCCCGGGCUCAACCUGGGAACUGCAUCCGAAACUGGCAGGCUUGAGUC